GGUGAUUUUGAUGCAUGUAGAGGUCACACCUGUUCCCAUUCCGAACACAGUCGUUAAGCUCUAUGUGGUUGAUGAUACUGGUCCUAUCGGGGCUGGGAAAGUAGAUUAAAGUCACCA
rnacentral:rRNA from 1 species